UACGUAGGGUGCGAGCGUUGUCCGGAAUUAUUGGGCGUAAAGAGCUUGUAGGCGGUUUGUCGCGUCUGCCGUGAAAAUUCGAGGCUCAACCUCGAACUUGCGGUGGGUACGGGCAGACUAGAGUGUGGUAGGGGAGACUGGAAUUCCUGGUGUAGCGGUGAAAUGCGCAGAUAUCAGGAGGAACACCGAUGGCGAAGGCAGACUCUGGGCCGUAACUGACGCUGAGGAGCGAAAGCAUGGGGAGCGAACAGG
rnacentral:rRNA from 1 species